UGGGGUAUGGCCAAGUGGUAAGGCUGCGGGUUUUGGUCCCGCCAUUCGGAGGUUCGAAUCCUUCUACCCCAG
rnacentral:tRNA from 1 species